GCUCAGAAAUAGCUCAUUUGGUAGAUCAUGAGACUCUUAAUCUCAGGGUUGUGGGUUCAAGCCUCACAUUGGGCA